CGGAAACGCUUCGGAAGCGUUUCCGUAUGAAAGCAAAACCUAUCCCGUCUGUGCGCGUGCAAGAGAAAGAUGAUGAACGUCAGAUAGUCUUAUUGCCUUCGUAUCUAUAUCGCUUUGUAAAGCACUGGUUGUGCUGCUGCCGGUUCACAUUUUUACACAACAAAAAUUCGAUUUCUCAACUGGCUGCUCCUGCCUGCCCAUCCCAGUAGCCAAUGCCAUGCUGCUCUUCACAAUCAUACUGCGAUGGCUGUGCGGCGGCUGCUUGCUCUUUGACAUCUUCCGCAUCAACCGGGUGCUGUUGGAAACCGAGGAGUAGGAUCUGCUGAUGCAACAGCUGGAGAACCGCAGCGAUAGUGUCCCACGCACGGCACACCAGCAGAAUCUGACCGCUCUGCAGAAUAUCACCGAGAUGGCCGACCUGAUGGGCUCGGUUUUGGUAAGUAAACUCAAUUGGUGAUGCACUGUGUCAAACAAUUAUACAGUACAGUGAUGGCGCGGAUAUAAAAUCAUUUUUAAAACAUAUUUAAUUAAUUAAAACAAACUUCACAUUUUGACGUAGAAUAACGUCCUUCGGUAAGACAAGGCGGUCAUUCCAAAGUUUCAAAUUUGGGAUCGCCACGAAAAGUAGUCAGGAAGAAUGAGCCUGGAGCUUCUGGAGAUUUUGGUAUGUGUCGAUUAGUAAACUCUUCAGGAUUCUAUACAACUAUUGGAAACAAUUGAUUCAAUGCAUUUACCUAUUGAAAAAUCUAAUUUUACCAGCCAAUGUCGAAACUGCACUUUAACAGUUUGCUUUAAUUUCGGCUAUUAGCCAUCCGGCAUGAACAUGCAUAAAAUGUUGAUGCUCAAAUUUCGCUUUUUUCUAGUGUCAUCACGUUACAUACAAAGUUGACGGACUUUCUAUCGCUCUCAUCGCUCCAAUCCUGCCGUGCGCCACAAGAAAAUAUGGUGUUGACCAGAGUGUAUGUAAUUAAGAGUGGUGACAUGUGCCGCAUUUGACAGGUCUUUUGCUCGGAACACGAUUUUGUAUGGGAAUGAUAGAUGAAUUUUGUUUCAAUUCUGACAGUGUCGCCACUCUUAAUUACAUACACUCUGGUCACAGACAAACAGACGUAACUCUUCAUAUAAAUUGUUCGAAAAAUUAUCGUCAUUACUUUUUCAGAAAACACUACUGCCGUCUAUUGUCAGAAUCGCGAGAAAGAUAGUCGACCUUGAUUAUUUCCCAUUUGACAUUUUGUUCGAAACGUAUACUUCUAUAUAAAUCAUCAUUAUCAUCGUCAUCAAUACAGAAAACAUUCAGCAGCAUAUACACUAAUCAAAUGUCAAAGCGAUUGAACACUAGCGCCUCUCUUGGCACAAUCGCACAGAUGUAUUUCAAAUCAAUUGUUGAACACGUGAACGAUGUUGAAAUCAGAAGUGUUACGUCUGUUUGUCUGUGCUCUGGUGUUGACUACUCUCCCGAAAUGGUAAUUUUCGUAUGGAAUUUGGUAAACUUGGUUGAAGUAAAAAGAGCUUCCUUCAAAAUUCAAUGCGUUAGUUAACGGAAGACCUAGGGUCUCUUCAAAAAAUAAUAAAGCCGAAACGAAUUAUAUGAUGGUUAGAACUAAAACUGAUUUAUUAUAUCGAUUCUAAUA